rnacentral:rRNA from 1 species
CCUACGGGCGGCAGCAGUGGGGGAUAUUGCACAAUGGGCGGAAGCCUGAUGCAGCGACGUCGCGUGAGGGAUGGAGGCCUUCGGGUUGUGAACCUCUUUCGCCGGUGAAGAAGGUCCUGCUUUUUGGGUGGGGUUGACGGUAGCCGGGUUAUGAAGCGCCGGCUAACUACGUGCCAGCAGCCGCGGUAAUACGUAGGGCGCGAGCGUUGUCCGGAAUUAUUGGGCGUAAAGGGCUUGUAGGCGGCUGGUCGCGUCUGCCGUGAAAUCCUCUGGCUCAGCUGGGGGCGUGCGGUGGGUACGGGCUGGCUUGAGUGCGGUAGGGGAGGCUGGAACUCCUGGUGUAGCGGUGGAAUGCGCAGAUAUCAGGAGGAACACCGGUGGCGAAGGCGGGUCUCUGGGCCGUUACUGACGCUGAGGAGCGAAAGCGUGGGGAGCGAACAGGAUUAGAUACCCGGGUAGUC